rnacentral:rRNA from 1 species
GGUUGUCGUCAGCUCGUGUCGUGAGAUGUUGGUUAAGUCCGCAACGAGCGCAACCCCUAUUGUUAGUUUGCCAUCAUUUCAAGUUUGGGCACUCUAGCGAGACUGCCGGUAAUAAACCGGAGGAAGUGGGAUGACGUCAAAUCAUCAUGCCCCUUAUGACCUGGGCUACACACGUGCUACAAUGGUUGGUAUAACGAGUUGCGAGUCGGUGACGGCGAGCUAAUCUCUUAAAGCCAAUCUCAGUUCGGAUUGUAGGCUGCAACUCGCCUACAUGAAGUCGGAAUCGCUAGUAAUCGCGGAUCAGCACGCCGCGGUCGAAUACGUUCCCGGGCCUU